rnacentral:lncRNA from 10 species
AAAUAUCUGUCCAAAUCUUUUGUACAUUAUUUUAAUUUUGUUGAAUUCUAAGAAAUUUUGUGUAUUUUUGAUACAAAUUCUGUAUCACAUGUGUUAUCCAAUUAUUUUUGCCUAGCGUGUGCCUUGUCUUUUCUAUUUUUAAUAGUGUUUUUCACAGAGCAAAGUAUUUAGUUCUGGUGUAGGUCAAUUUAUCAAAAAAAAAUUUUUUUUUUUUUGGGAUGGAGUCUUGCUCUGUCUCCCAGAGUGCGAUGUGAUCUCGGCUCACUGCAACCCCUGCCCCCUGGGUUCAAGCCAUUCUCCUGCCUCAGCCUCCUGAGUAACUGGGAUUACAGGCGCCCGCCACCACGCCUGCCUAAUUUUUGUGUUUUUAGUAGAGAUGGGGUUUCGCCAUGUUGGUCAGGCUGGUCUUGAACUCCUGACCUCAGGUGAUCCAUCCGCCUCAGCCUCCCAAAGUGCUGGGAUUACAGGCAUGAGCCACUGUGCCCUGCCCAAAAUUUUCUCUUAUGGACUGUGCUUUUCAUAGUGCAUGUAAGAAAUCUUUGCCUCACCCAAUGUCACAAAUUGUCUCAUAUAUUCUGUAAGUCUUACAGUUUCAGGUUUUACGUUUAGGUCUAUAAUUCUUUUUGAGUUAAUUUUUUAUAGAGUGUUGGUUUGGGGUUUAUUUUGUUCUUUUUGAAAUUUCUUAGGUUAUUGGUUUAUCUUUUCUCAUUUCUAAUGUGAGCAUUUAGUGUUUAAAUUUCCUUCUCAGUACUGCUGAGCUGUACCCCACAAAUGUUCACGUGUUGUAUUUUCUUUUUCUUUUUUUUUUUUUUUUGAGACGGAGUCUCGCUCUGUCGCCCAGGCUGGAGUGCAGUGGCGGGAUCUCGGCUCACUGCAAGCUCCGCCUCCUGGGUUCACGCCAUUCUCCUGCCUCAGCCUCCCAAGUAGCUGGGACUACAGGCGCCCGCCACUACGCCCGGCUAAUUUUUUGUAUUUUUAGUAGAGACGGGGUUUCACCGUUUUAGCCGGGAUGGUCUCGAUCUCCUGACCUCGUGAUCCGCCCGCCUCGGCCUCCCAAAGUGCUGGGAUUACAGGCGUGAGCCACCGCGCCCGGCCUCACGUGUUGUAUUUUCAUUCAUAUUUCCUUUGGGACUUCUUUUUGGCCCAUGCAUUAUUUAUAAAUAUGUUGUUUUAAUUAUCAAGUAUUUAGAGAGUUUCCUGUUUUUCUGUUAUAGAUUUCUAGCUUGAUUAUAUUAUGUUCUGAGAACAUAUUCUUAUGAGUUGAAUUAUUUUAGAUUUGCUGUGAUUUCUUUUAUUGCCCCAAAUGUACUUCAUCUUGGUAGA